rnacentral:rRNA from 1 species
UACGAAGGGGGCUAGCGUUGUUCGGAAUCACUGGGCGUAAAGCGCACGUAGGCGGAUGUGCCAGUCAGGGGUGAAAUCCCGGAGCUCAACCCCGGAACUGCCUCUGAUACAGCACGUCUUGAGUUCGAGAGAGGUGGGUGGAAUUCCUAGUGUAGAGGUGAAAUUCGUAGAUAUUAGGAAGAACACCGGUGGCGAAGGCGGCCCACUGGCUCGAUACUGACGCUGAGGUGCGAAAGCGUGGGGAGCAAACAGG